rnacentral:rRNA from 1 species
UGGCGGUAGGCCUGACACAUGCAAGUCGAACGGCAGCACAGGAGAGCUUGCUCUCUGGGUGGCGAGUGGCGGACGGGUGAGGAAUACAUCGGAAUCUACCUUUUCGUGGGGGAUAACGUAGGGAAACUUACGCUAAUACCGCAUACGACCUACGGGUGAAAGUGGGGGACCGCAAGGCCUCACGCGAUUAGAUGAGCCGAUGUCCGAUUAGCUAGUUGGCGGGGUAAUGGCCCACCAAGGCGACGAUCGGUAGCUGGUCUGGGAGGAUGAUCAGCCACACUGGAACUGAGACACGGUCCAGACUCCUACGGGAGGCAGCAGUGGGGAAUAUUGGACAAUGGGCGCAAGCCUGAUCCAGCCAUACCGCGUGGGUGAAGAAGGCCUUCGGGUUGUAAAGCCC